UCGAACGAGGUUAGUUUGGUAGCAAUACUGGGCUGACCUAGUGGCGAACGGGUGCGUAACACGUGACCAACCUGCCUGAAACCNGGGGAUAGCUCGGCGAAAGCCGGAUUAAUACCGCAUGUAAUCGCAAGAUUAAAGCAGCAAUGCGCUUUUAGAGGGGGUCGCGGCCUAUCAGCUAGUGUGGUGAGGUAAAGGCUUACCAAGGCAGCGACGGGUAGCUGGUCUGAGAGGACGACCAGCCACACUGGAACUGAGUACACGGUCCAGACACCUACGGGUGGCAGCAGUCGAGAAUUUUUCUCAAUGGGGGAAACCCUGAAGGAGCGACGCCGCGUGGAGGAUGAAGGCUUUCGGGUUGUAAACUCCUGUCAUCUGGGAACAAAACUCGCAAGAGCUUGAUAGUACCAGAAGAGGAAGAGACGGCUAACUCUGUGCCAGCAGCCGCGGUAAUACAGAGGUCUCAAGCGUUGUUCGGAUUCGUUGGGCGUAAAGGGCGCGUAGGCGGUGGGGUAAGUCUGGUGUGAAAUCUCGGAGCUCAACUUCGAAAUUGCACUGGAUACUGCUCUGCUAGAGGGCUGGAGAGGAGAUCGGAAUUCACGGUGUAGCAGUGAAAUGCGUAGAUAUCGUGAGGAAGACCAGUGGCGAAGGCGGAUCUCUGGACAGCUCCUGACGCUGAGGCGCGAA
rnacentral:rRNA from 1 species